rnacentral:rRNA from 1 species
UGCCCUACGGGGGGCAGCAGUGAGGAAUAUUGGUCAAUGGGCGGGAGCCUGAACCAGCCAAGCCGCGUGAGGGAAGAAGGUACAGCGUAUCGUAAACCUCUUUUGUCAGGGAACAAAGGCGGGGACUAGUCCCCGGAUGAGGGUACCUGAAGAAAAAGCAUCGGCUAACUCCGUGCCAGCAGCCGCGGUAAUACGGAGGAUGCGAGCGUUAUCCGGAUUUAUUGGGUUUAAAGGGUGCGUAGGCGGACGCUUAAGUCAGCGGUAAAAUUGCGGGGCUCAACCUCGUCGAGCCGUUGAAACUGGGG